UGAUACCUGCGGGGUGGGUCGCGACAGAACGUGAGUCACACUGCGCCUCCCGCGGCCCGGCUCGCAGUGCGCCCCGCCACUCCGAUGCCAGGUCCGAGGCAGUCGCACGCCAAGGCAUUUUCCUCAGCAGUUGAGUAGCUCCCCCCUCCACCCCCCCCCCCCACAGAACAAGCUUUUUAGAAUAAAAAGUCCCAUUUGGACACGAGGGCAAGAGAGUAAAGUCAAUUAGUAAGAGAACUGAACAACCCGAUUUUUUUCCCCCUACAAAUUGUGCUUUGUUGAGUUGAGCUGAGACUGAUGAACUGCAGUUCAGCAGCUGGAGGCUGCCUCCUGUUCUGCAGCAUUGCAUCCUGCUCAAGGUCAAAUCCAUUCCCCCGUGAAUGUCACGGUCCCUGUCCUCGCUACUCCAGCUCGUUGUCAGUGAUCUGCCCCCAGAUCAGGUUGGAAAUUAGAAGGCUGUGCUCGGAAAGUUUCAUGGCAAUUGGACGAGGGAAGUCGAAUCUGCAGUGACGGACAGGAGGGGCACCGGCCCCCUUGGUGGCUUCUCAGAAUAAGCCAACCCUAGCUGCCUCUUGUGAGGACCCCCCUCAUUAGAAAAUGAGUUUAGGCGGGUUUCCAACAGCUGGCUUCUGCAGAGGACCUUCUGCUGACUGUAAGAUACGGCUGAACUGUAUGUUCUCUUUUUCUGUAUUAAGCAAUUGGUCAUUUUUUAAAAAGGCCUGAUUCGAAGAGUUGGAUGUGCAAACGAAUUGGUUUGUAUACUGCCUCCCAUAUUGUGGAUGGGACAAAAGCAAAGAAAUUCAAGGAAAAAUAUGGAUCUUUUCAUAGUGGCUAUCCAGAUGUCUUUUUUUUUUUAACUGAACUGCAUUAUAAAGCAGCUUUAAAUUAUAUUUUCAGGUAUGUAGUAAAAGAAACUUUAUAACAAUUUUGAAUGACACUUUUUAGGACCUAAGAGCCUCAAGUGAUGUUUUCAUCCAGAAAAUGGAGCGUUUUGAAGGAAAGAAAAUAAACUCUUCUAACAGAGUGGAAGAUGCCGACCCUGGAGCAGACGCCCAUGGACACUUCCAUCACGGACUCUCAGCGGACUUUUAGCAGGCACAGAGGGACACGCAGAAGACGGCUGUGGGCGCAGCCCGGACAAGCAGGCAUCAGGGACGCGCACGCACCAUGCCACUGAUGCAGCGGCCGCAGGCGGUGGUCUUGAACUCCCCAUGCAGCUCCUUCACGGCGCUCGUGGUGUAGAAGCCCUCCGCCAGCAGGAUGAUCCCGUACAGGAAGAAGAAGGACGCGAUUCCGUAGAUGACGUACUGCAUCAGCUGGAUUCUGGGGAAGGAAGCAGGUCCCGCGCCGUUACGUUUCGUGCAUCACUAACAGAUGUCUUUGGCCUCCGAAGGGAGGCCACGAAGGUGACAGCACCGCCGCGCCCUCCGCUGUGAUUGCCAGCCCUGCCCCACGGGAGAGCCCGCCCCGGGUCCCACAGGCCCGCGGCGCCCUGGGCGCUCUUUCCCGCUGCCGUCUGCAGUCUGUGAGCGUGACUGGAAAGCUCUCUGCCCAACAAGCACACUUCUUGAAAGCCCCCUGGGGUGGUCGCCUUUCAAACCCCUCUUCAAAGGGCAGCAGGAACUUACACCUCGCUCAGCAGGGCGUGGUCACUGGCGUUGGUGGAGAAGUGCUGCUCGAGGAUGGCCACGGUGCCCGCCAGAGCCACGUGGCCGCAGCCGCAGAACAGGGCGACGCCGGAGAAGCAGAGGAUGGUGGCCACCAGGGACGCGUAGGGGACUCCCCCCAGACACUUGAUGCAGCACUCGAAGCAGCCUGGGCCCGGAGGAGAGAGAGCGCACCCGUUACGCGCCCGAGGCCUUCCUGAGCCCACAGGGUAGGAAGCACUGGGCCUGGCACUGGGACUACAAAUGCAAAGGGAGGCCUCUUACUUGCCUUCAAGGAGAUCAGUCUAACGCUGCAGGCAGACAAGUCACAGAACUCCUAGAGCGCAGCGUGACGAGCACCAAGACAUGGACUGCCGGAGAGCCAGCGGAUGGCGGGCAGGUGCAAAUCUGAGAACCACUGUCCUAAAGAAUCACGCCGGCUCCUCACUGCGGCCGUUCCAUCUUCUUUCUUUGAUCACCAGGCAAAUUCCGCGACAAUGAAAACCUAUCUCCACGAAACAAUUCCUGGCUUCUGGCCAAGAUGGAGUAUCAGGGACCUAAUUUAUCCUCCUGCCUGAAACAAGAAGAAGCUGAACAAUACCUACGAAACGAUGGCCUUCCAGAUACCAGGCAUCGGGCUGUGAAGACCCACCCAUGGCUAGUGAGGCAGUUGUUACAGUAAUUCUCAACAGAACCAAAGAAUCCACACCCAGUGACCCAUAACUCAUUCUGAAGACGCGGCUGGCACAGGGUCCUCUGAAGGCGCAGCUCAGCUCCCCUGGCCAAGAGCAGCUCUUCCCCACAACCUUGCUGGGACCAUCCGCUCGGGUCCUGAGGUCUCCUAAAGGCUGUGUUUCAUUGCGGCUGUCCAUUCAGCAGGGUAACGGAUACGGGUGAGGACAGCAGGCGGAGGGAGGGAGUAGCUGUCCGUCCAUUCGGUUAUUCCAUUUCAUUCAAUCAAUCAGUGAACAUUCCAUGCUCAUCGAAGUGUCUUUGAUGCCCCCAGCACCGGGCUGGACGCCGGGGACUCAACGGCACGCUAGCAUAGGCGUGGUCUACACUCUGAUGGCGUUUCCCGUCUCUGGGGAGACAGACAUUAGCCAGGUGGUCCUGAGCUCAGAAGAGCUAGAGGAGCAAAGCACGGGAACUGACUGAGGCUUCCGGAGGGGAACCGGGGACGGGUUCCACCCCUUAGAUACGAAGGCUGAGUCUGAGGUCAUCAGACACGGUUAGAGAGGGUGGUCCAGGACGCAGGAACAGGAACAGACGCUCCGUGGUGGAAAGAGGAGGGCGCUCUCCCGGGCUCGGAAGCAGCCCGAACAGAGAGCGGGCUCAGUGCGGGCGGGGCCAGGAAGGGUCUAGCGGAGCCAGACCCACCCAGGGCUUUCCAGGCCGCCCGAAGGAGUCUGGACUUCAUCCUCUGGAUCCUGUGAGGCCACGGAGCGCCGUUAACCACGAGGAAGAGACUGGGGUUGUCCGAGAUCCCCCUGGCCGGCGUGACGGGCACAAAGUGCAUGUGCAGGCGAGGAGGCGCUCGCCGCGAUAGCUCAGGAAAAGCGGGCAGGUGCUUGGACCGGGGCCGAGGCAGCGGAAGAAGACGACAGUGACGGGUCAGAGAGCGCGUUCCUGAGUACCACGGACGACUCCUCACUUUCUGCACCUAGACCCCGCGGGUGCUGUGGUGUUCCCUGAGCUGCGGUUGACCCCAGAGGGCGAGGCUGUGAGGACAAAGACGCUGAGCUGACUUUCAGGUGACCGGAGGCCGGCUGAAGGGAGGGUUUCUGGUAGGCGAGUGGCUAUACGGCUCCGCAGGUCGGGAGUGCCGGUGUUGGGUGCCGUCAGCCCCUCCUGGACAGCCAUGAAAACUUCCUGCGGUCAAGCAUGCAUGAGUGCAUCACUGAUCAGGUCAAAGUGCUUCAGACCCUCUGCUUUGCAAAGUACGGUCCUUGGACAAGCAGCACGAGCUUGGGAGACACGCAGCACUUUGGGCCGCGUCCCAGACUAGCGGACUCCGCAUCUGCACCUUAACAAGCCCCCCAGGGGCGCACAGACGAGUCUGAGAGGCCUAUCUCUAGCCCCGAGCCCCAGCUUCCCACGCUCAGGUGUGGCGUCCUGAGUCCAUAGGAAGGGCCUGUUUUUGCGUUCACCCCUGUUUGGUGUUUUCCCCUUAAGAAGCAGCCCGCUGGGCUUGGCCGUUAGUCUCGCCACUUGCAAAUCACAAGGCAAGUUCCAGGGGCGGCAACAAAGAAAAACAAAAUGUUCCAAAGCUGUUCAGCUGUCUUGAAAAGACAGCAAGUAGAGUGUGUUGUGUUUUUUGUUUUUUUUUUUCUCUAAGACAAGCAAGCACUGUGAACCUCAGAAUGUUUCACAUCAAAGAUGCUUUAGUGCAAUACCAUAGAUAGGGUCUGAGGAAACAGACCUGUAACCCCCUCCUCAUACAGACAGACGGCCUGGAUCUGCGCUUCAGACUGUCCCCAGCAUGAGAAGUCACAGGCCAGGCUGAUGCUUCUGCACAGGGAUGUGGUACUAAGCAUCAACACGGCACCAGACGUUAAAAGUUGAUGCCGCUUAAGGAAGGUGAACGCUUCCCUUGGGCGCUCCCGUAAAUCCACAGACUGACUUUUCCCAAGCUUCAAACCAGUUAUGACGACACUGGGUAACGGGAACCAGACAGAAAAGGCAAGGAAAGUAUUUUUUGGAUGACUGAACUAACCAAAAAGAACCACCAAACCUCAGUGCUCAGCUUUCUAGUGUAUUUUACUCCUGAUUCUCAAUACCUCUCACCACCACGCCCCCUCCACACGCUGUCAAGUCAGUGUCUUCAGCCCUCCUGAAGCCAGGCUCUGUGGCUACAGAGAAUUUUCACUUUUGAUUCACACAAAAACUCCAGUGUGCCUUUGCCGAAGACAGUUUAAAAAUACACCACACAGUAGGGAGAGAAAAAUGCGCAUCAGUGCCUCUCGCUCUCAAUGGCCAUUUUGUCUCCAGCAUCUCUAGAACCUUUUGUGCAGAACGACAGAAUAAAACAUGUUUUGUCCUCAGGCUUGCGGAUGGCCGUUGCCAUGGCUCUGAGUUCAUAACGGCCCAGUGAUUUGCCCCAAGUUGUCUGUGAUCCUGGCUGCAGAUUUAAAGCUGUCUCAGAAGAAGGGCCCAGCCAGCAGCCACAAGGGCUCGAAUUCUUCCCCAGGGAAUGAAUGUCUCUCCCUCUCGCUCGCUCGCUCGCUCGCGCUCACACACACACACACACACACACACACACCGACCCACACACCCCUGUACGCAAGGCCCUCCUUGUUACUUUGCUGAUUCCUAAUGAUCCACAAAAUGAAACAGAAAAGGAGAAAUAACCAAGGUCGGCAACUUUCAAACAAUCAGCAACAGGCAAAUGGAGGUGGAGCGCAUCCUCCUUAAAAGAAAUAGAACUGGAUGUCAGCCGAGACGCCUCUGCUUCGGAGACGGCUUCCGCAGCACUUCUCAACAGGGGGUGACUGUGCCCCCCUAGGGGACACUGGGCAAUGUCUGGAGACACUUUUAGUUGUGGGGGGUGCUCCCGGCUCUAGUGCGUGGAGGCCAGGGAUACUGUUCAACAUCCUACACUGUGCAGGACAGUCACUCACAACCCAGCUGUCAAGAGCACACGCGCUCGCACACACGCUCAAUAAUGCUCAGAUCAGCGGUUUUCAACUGGGGACGAUCUUGCCCUGCAGGGAACAUGUGGAGACAUUAUCAGUCAUCGCAACUGGGCGGGCGUUACUGGCAUGUAGCGCACAGAAGCGAAAGAUGCUGCUAAACAACCCCCCAGUGGACAGGACAGCCCCCACCCCACAAAGAUGGCGGGGAACGCAUGCUGUCAAGGGUGAGGGGCCCCCUUCCAAGGCUACCAUGUGCCAUCCUGUUCUGAGACACCACUGUUACAGCCAAAUCCCACAAUUAAAAAAAAAAAGCUUUAAAAAAAAUCUGACUUUGUUUACAAAAUAUUACAGAGCAAAAGUUCUCCAACUUUGCUGCAGAAGAGAAUUGCCUGGAGCACAUUUGAAAACCCUGAUGCCCAGACUUCACCACAGACCCAUUAAAUCAGCAUUUCUUGGGGGUGGGACUCGGGCAUUAGAGGUUUGGCUGAAAAACAGAAGCCCCCUAGGUGACUGACUGUAAUGAGCACCCACGUUGGCGAACAGUGCAGGCGUCAGCAAACUGGUCCAUGAGCCAAACAGCCCUCCACCUGGCCUGCGACCCAAGAAUGCUUCUGUACGUUUCUAAAUGAUCUACAAAAACAGACCUCAAAGAAGACUUCCUUUGUGAUAUACGUAUAUGGAAUUCAAAUCUCUGUGUCCAUAAAUAAGGUUUUCUUUGCUGCUGUCAUGGUUUCCUUUGCUAUACAAACAGAAAUAAAGUUUUUUUGGAACAUAGCCGACCUCACUCCUUCAUGUACUGAGUGUGGCUAUUUUCAAGUUGCAAAGGCAGCGGUGCGUAGUUGCCAAAUAUUUACCAUCUGGUCUUUUACAGGAAAAGUCUGCGGCCUCCAUUAAAGAGAAACUGGUUCCCCAACUUUAAGGUGCAUGUAUGUUCCCUGGGGAUCCCAUCAAAAGGCAGAUUCCAUUUAGGCAGAGAACAGAGGCUCUCCAAGGGGGGAAUCUGUGCAGCCCUGAGAGACCCUGCGGCUCUAUCAGGAGUUCUGCGAGGCCCAAACUGCCUUGGUCACAGCGCCAGAUGUUACUGACUUUCAUUCGGUGUUGACGUUUGCAGCGUAAACCUGCCGAUGGCUCAGCGCGAAUCAGGCAGCGGCACCACGCACUCCCGGCCAAAAGUACAUAAAUAACAGACAGCUUCACUUAAAACUCUCCUCGACGCAGUACAAAAUUACCUUGAAUGAAGCGGAAGCCCUGAGUACACACCUUUUGGAAACUCUGUGUGAUGAAACGGGAAGGAUGCCUACAGCAUUUCGGGUGCCUACCACAGCACGCCGAAGGGUUCUUGUGUCAUUGAGUUACAAGCUGAACUAGCACCAGUUUUUCUUUUUUGGUGGAACAACCUUUUUUUUUUUUUUUUUUUUUUAAAGAAUGACUAACAAGCUAUAGUUGUUAUUAAGACUUGGGAAGAAGACAUAAAGGCCAACAGGCACAUGAAAAGAUGUUCAGCAUCACCAAUCAUCACAGAAAUGCAAAUCAACACCACAAGGAGAGGCCACCUCACGCCUGUUAGAAUGGCUAUUAUCCAAAAGGCAACAAAUAAUGAGCGUAGGCAAGGAUGUGGAGCAAAGGGAACCCUUGUGCACUUUCUUAACUGAUACAGCCACUGCGGAAAACGGUGUUUGUAUGUUCUUUCUUUGGAUAAACACCCAGAAGUAAAAUAGCUUUGGUCUUAUUGGUAAUUCUAUUCUUAAUUUUUUGAGGAAUCACCAUACUAAUUUGUAAAGAUACCCACACCUCUAUGUCCACUGCACCAUUAUUUAUAAUUGCCAAGACACAGCAACAACCUCAGUGCCUACUGAUGGAUGAACAGAUAAAGAAGACAUGAUGUACAUACAUAUACAUACACACACACAAUGAAAUACUACUCAGCUAUAAAAAAGAAUGAAUUCCUGCCAUUUGCAACAAGACAGAUGGACCUUGAGAGCAUUAUGCCAAGUGAGAUAAGUCAGAGAAAGACAAAUGCCAUAUGAUUUCACUCACAUGUGCAAUAUGAAAACAACACCUCAUAGAUACAGAGAACAGAGUAGUUACCAGAAGGGAAGGGGACUGGGGGUUGUGUGAAAUGGGUCAGAGGGGUCAACUGUCUGGUGAUGGAUGACAACUAGACACGUGGUAGUGAUCACCCUAACGGAUAUGCAGAUGCUGAACUACGAUGCUGUACUUGACGUGUUCUAUAUACACCCACACACACAUACAUACACACAUACACACACACCAGGUAGGCUUGGGCACAUGGCAAAAUGGUUUUCAAAAAUGAUCUAAAUGAGCUUGUCCCUUCAAAGAAAACAACUCACUCAUAGUAUCUGUUGCCAAUCAAUUUUCGAAAACUUUCACCUGUGAUUCAUAGUGAAAGUUCCAGCUUCCCAGGACUGACAAGACUUCUUGAUGAAACUGGUGGUGACAUUAAUGCCUGCGUCUUUCUGAAUAUGGUAUAAUGAAAUGUGUCAAUGCCUGGAAGAUGUGCACAACUCAGAGAACCUCUAUUUUCCAAAUGACCGACAUGUGAUGUUACAGAAUCAUUCUGGAAUACACUGCCAAUCAGAGUGCAAAAGAGAGCAACAGAUUUUACUGGAACAGAAUACAAAAAGUUCGUAGAUAUGAUUUCAGAUUCCACAUUAUAAAUGAUCUUUAAAACACUACCACUUGCUGGAUUUCGGGGUAUUAUCAAGGAAGAGUUCCACAAACACAUGAAACGGCCAUUAAAACUCUUCUCUCUUCAGCCGCAUAUCUGUGAAAGAUGCAGUUUGUUUCAUACACUUUACCUAAAACUAGAUACCCCAAGAUGCCUUUGAAUGCACGAAUCCAGCUGUCAUAAAUGGAUAAAGAACACGUGGUAUACAACAUAUGCUAUACAAUGGAAUACUACUCAGCCAUAAAAAGAAUAAAAUAAUGCCAUUUGCAGCAACAUGGAUGGACCUAGAGAUGAUCAAACUAAGUGAAGUAAGUCAGACAGAGAAAGACAAAUACAUGGUAUCACUUAUAUGUGGAAUCUUUAAAAAAUGAUACAAAUGAACUUUUAUUGAUAAACCAGACAUAGAACACAAACUAUGGUUACCAAAGGGGAAAAGGGAGGGAGAGAGGGAUAAAUUAGGAGUCUGGGAUUAACAGAUACACACUACUGUAUGCAAAAUAGAUAAACGACAAGGACCUACUGUAGAGCACAGGGAACUAUAUUCAAGAGCUUCUAAUAACCUAUAAUGGAAAAAGACUCUGAAAAACAAUAGAUGUAUAUCUAUGUAUAACUAACUGACUAACUUUGCUGCACACCUGCAACUAAGCCAACACCGUAAGUUAACUAUACUUCAAUUUUUUAAAAAAAAUCUAGCUGUCACAUAUGAAGCCAGAUACUAAGGAGAGUGGCAGAAAUGUAAAGCAGAAGUAUUCUUCUCACUUGUUUUAUUUUCUUUGGGAAAUUAGUUAUCUUUUCCUAAACAUUAAUUAUGUUAACAUGUAAUGGGUUUAUUAUUAGUUUAAUUAAAUAAAUUUAGUACUUACAAUAAAUUUCUCAAUUAUAAUUUCUAAUACAAAAAUACACAUGUAAACCACAUGAGCAAAAGCUUUCUGGGGUCUUCAAUUAUUUGUAAGAGAGUAAAGGGACCUGCCACCCCCAAGUCUGUAAACCACUGGCGCAACACACUAAGGCGGGAUCAUGGAAUCAGAGGGGGGAGCGGCUCUGUGUAAAAGAGCUGAGUGAGAAAUCACUGAAACGUAGAUAAGUUGCUUCUCAGUUCUCUCUUGACCUUCUUACAGUUCUGGACGUAAAAGUCCAACUAUAUAAUGCUAAGAAUGCAGAAACUAUUCUUCAAACUAUUUUUAAUAAUAUAAAGGGAAUCGAUCACUUUCCAGCAGAUCCUUUUAAAAAUUUGUCCUAAAAUCUUAAGUGAAAAAUUCUCAUUCCUGGGGCACACGGUGAACACUUUAAAAUAGAUUAGCCUCUCACAUGUGCAGUACGGCCUGGGCAGGAGAAGAGAAGCAACUACGUCAAAGUAAAGGUACGCGCACAUGGUGAAAUACACAAAGCGAAGAACCGGCCGCUUUGUUUGUUAGUCUCUUCCUUCAGCUUUCGUGGGAACUGGCUUUGCUCUUCCUAAGGACCACCUGCAUGCUCUUAGCCUGCUGAAGUGGAGUGCAAGGAACCAGGGACACCGAGGGUGAUCUGAAAAUGAAAGAAUUGACCCAGAGCAGAAAACAAGCUGUGAAGAACCCUAAAAGAUACUCAGAAACGCUACAGCGUGGACCUGAGCUGGAAUACACCUGCGCUGUGUCCACCAUUCACCUCCAUUUCACUUGAAACCCCUUGAAUAACUGGAAGCCAUCAGACUGGGCGCUUCUGGCCCAACCUGCGUAAACCUGGAAAGUUUCUCCAACCAGACUCCGGGGAAGAGGCGCUUCGCCCGAGAGCCCACAUGGCACCAUGAGACCACUGGCAACAAGCCACACCCGCCAGUGACGGAGCCCAGUGGCGCACACAGGAAGAUUCAGGGUUCCCCCUUCGAAAUACGUUUCAAGUGUUUUCAGGAAAAAACCUCAAACUUAGUGGCCUGACGAUCUGAGGUUAGGACACAGUAACACAGGACAGUGACAAACCCAGGGCGCUUCCCGGGACUCUCAUGCCCACGGGAGUCACU